AUUAAAUGUAAUAAAUUACAUUUGCUAUGACCUUGUCUUAAUUACAGUUGAACUACAGUGGUCCAAGUAUGUUAACAGAGUAAAAUGGAUGCAUUUUACAAGAAAUGAUCAGAAGCUAUACUGCAGUCCGGUGCUGGCAAUCCUACUGCAGGUGGUAUUUCUUUUUAUCAGCAAUAAAUAACACAGGAGUUGCCAUGUGGAGCGAUGACCCCAGCUGUAGGAGGUGAUCAGAAAUGAAGCUUUAGGACCAAGAACAAAAGGGAAGAAGAAUUGGCAGAGGAAAUGCAAAAGGGUUUGUUUAGAGCCGGAAAAGAGCAGCUAUCCAAAUACUAACAGAAUCAUGUGAAAGAGCAAAAGAACAAGCGGGAUCUCUGGUUAAAGGUGAACAGCUGUCAACUGACAACAAAGGCCCCAAACUAAUUUCCUUUUAUUAUUUUUUUAAAUUAUAAACAGGAGAGAUGGAAGCUGACUGGUGGAUUCUUACAGAAGAAUGGCAGAUGAUGCCAUGCCAGUAAGUAGGAACUGUGAAAUCAAUACCAUGCCUUAGCAUUUGGUCCUGGGACUUCAUUUCUGGUAGCCUCCUGAGCUGGG
rnacentral:lncRNA from 1 species